rnacentral:lncRNA from 1 species
GAUUUGGGGUCAGGGUCCGGAUUUGGGUCCAGAUCUGGAUCUGGGGUCAGGGUCUGGAUUCAGGGGCUGGGGGCCAGAUCUGGGGUCAGAGUCCAGAUUUGGGAUUGGGAUCUGGAUUUGGGGUCAGAGUCCAGAUUUGGGAUCAGGAUCCGGAUUUGGGAUCGGGAUCCGGAUUUGGGAUCUGGAUCUGGAUUUGGGGUCAGGGUCCAGAUUUGGGGUCAGGGUCUGGAUUUGGGAUCGGGAUCUGGAUUUGGGAUCGGGAUCCAGAUUUGGGAUCUGGAUCCGGAUUUGGGGUCAGGGUCCAGCGCUGGGAUCUGCAGUGGGGGCGCGGGGCCCCGCGUGGUUCCUGGUCUUCUCUCAGAUCCCCAACCCCGCGCCCGCUCCCACCCGCGUCCCCAGCCGGGUGUCACCGUGUCACCACUGCGGUGUCACCGGGGCACCGUGUCCCCAAGAAGAGGUCACCACGUCAUGGUGUCCCCAACGUGAUGUCACCGUGUCCCCAACGCAAUGUCACCAGGACGUGGUGUCCCCAACGUGAUGUUACUGGGACAUGGUGUCCCCAACGCAAUGUCACCGUGUCCCCACUGCGAUGUCACCGGGACAUGAUGUCCCCAACGCGAUGUCACCAGGACAUGGUGUCCCCAACGUGAUGUCACCGUGUCCCCAAUACGAUGUCACCAGGACGUGAUGUCCCCAGAGUGAUGUCACCAGGGCAUGGUGUCCCCAAUGCAAUGUCACCUGGACAUGAUGUCCCCAGUGCAAUGUCACCGUGUCCCCAACACGAUGUCACCAGGACAUGGUGUCCCCAGCGCGAUGUCACCGGGACAUGGUGUCCCCAACGUGAUGUCACCGGGACAUGGUGUCCCCAGCAUGAUGUCACCGUGUCCCCAGCACGAUGUCACCAGGACAUGGUGUCACCAACACGGUGUCACCGGGACACGAUGUCACCAUGGAGACGCCAGCAGGACACAGUGUCACCCAUGAGAUGUCGCCAGGGCACAGUGUCCCCAAGGAGAUGUCACCACGCCAUGGUGUCCCCAGCGAGGUGUCCCCAUGCCAUGGGGUGUCACCGUGUCACCGAGCCUUCACCUGGACGUGAUGUCCCCAGCGCGAUGUCACCAGGGCACGGUGUCACCAACACGAUGUCACCACGCCGUGGUG